UUCUGGGAAGGAGGGGCAUAGCUUUCUUCAGCUUUUUCGAGGAGUCUGUGGUGCUCAUAAAGGAAAGAACCAUAGCAUAUGGCCAGGUUGGGCACUGUGACCUCUUUUCCACCUGGUUCUAAUUACUCCCAAUCACUGGUUGGUUAGGCUGCGAGGUUGUCGGUGUGCCUUUGUACCUCAGCCAACUACCCUUUGAGACCCCCCCCCCCCUAAAUUCAGGAAGUUUAAUCAGUCCAGUCCCUGGCCCUUAAAUCAAUCAGGACCUCAUUGAAGUUCUGCGUGAAUCUCCCAAAGAGUAGCCAGCUACCAAGUUUUCACCAUCCUGUCACCUCGGUCCUCGCUUCUGCUUUGUGCACUGCAACCUGGCUUCCUGGGGCGUGAGCUGCCUGGCUUGGCACUUCAGGCACGCCGGGCCCUCCCUCCCGCGGCAUCUGGUGACAACAACCAUGCACUGAAUUAGCUGAACACGAAUGUCUAAAGCCCUGUGGCUGCAUCAGGGUGGCUCCCAGGAGCCUGAGGACAGGUGAGGCGCUCGGCUGUGCAUGGGGAUUCUUGUUUACCUCAACAGGGAAUCAGGCUCCCAGUGCGGCCAAGUUGGGCACAUGACCAGCUCCUGCUGCCACCCGGGUAAUUGGUUUUCUGUGUUCAUUUCAAUAAUGAACAGCAUUAAAGGAGGCUGGAGAUGCAAGGGAGAUACAAGCAUUGUGGAAGGAACAAAGAGAUUUUAAUGUGUUGAGUCGGGUUCUGGGAAAGAUGAGGGACAUGAUAAUCGAGUAUUAAAACAGAAGAGAUUAUGCAGUGGUCCUCACACCAUCCAUCACCGCCCUCGUCCUGGGCGGGUGGCAGAACUGAGUCUGCCGAGAUCCCGGCAUUAUCUCCGCAGUUUAUUUACAUCUCAAAUCAGGUUGCACUGACAGCAGCUAAAGAAAUUCCAGGGAAGAGAUGUAACUGCAUGAUCUAUUUCCUACAGAAAGUGCAAACACAA